rnacentral:sRNA from 1 species
GCCAAAUUAUAAUGAGAUAUGCAAAUGAAAAAUUCAAUCAAGAUGAGCGAAGCCCGUAACUUGUUCACCACCUUUGGCAUCCUGGCCAUCCUGCUUUUCUUCCUUUACCUCAUCUAUGCCGUAUUGUAAAAUGUUUCCGGCAAGUAGAAGGUCCUUAGGGCAGGACAGAAGCCAGCAGCCAAAUCAAAGCAAUCAAAAUGAAUGAGGCCAAAAGUUUGUUCACCACCUUCCUCAUCCUGGCCUUCCUGCUGUUCCUGCUCUACGCCUUCUACGAAGCCGCCUUCUAGGCCCAACUCCCCAAUCACCCAUGAUCACCAGUACCACCACCCAUCAAGGAUAGCUUACAUGUUGAAUUUCAAUUCCAAGCCGCCGGCCAUGCCAUCAUCUUGUGGCCCGGUGGAGCUUCUAGGACCCUACGCGUUUAAGAUGUUUAGCAUUUAAUGGAUUUCUACUAGUAACCUAAGCC